UAGGGCUUGAACUGGCUCACCUGGUUCACCUAGUCUAGGGCUUGAACUGGCUCACCUGGUUCACCUAGUCUAGGGCUUGAACUGGCUCACCUGGUUCACCUAGUCUAGGGCUUGAACUGGCUCACCUGGUUCACCUAGUCUAGGGCUUGAACUGGCUCGCCCGGUUCACCUAGUCAAGGGCUUGAACUGGCUCGCCUGGUUCACCUAGUCAAGGGCUUGAACUGGCUCGCCUGGUUCACCUAGUCAAGGUCUUGAACUGGCUCGCCUGGUUCACCUAGUCAAGGGCUUGAACUGGCUCACCCGGUUCACCUAGUCAAGGGCUUGAACUGGCUCACCCGGUUCACCUAGUCAAGGGCUUGAACUGGCUCUCCUGGUUCACCUAGUCAAGGGCUUGAUAAUUAGUUGAUAUGAGAGAGGGGAGAUUAGGGUGAGAAUGAAUGGAUUCUAUUUGACUCCCUCUCCAAUACAUUUACUGCCAGAGAGACUGUUGGAGUAAGAGAUUCAUCAUGAUUCAUCUUGUCAAGGGCUUGAUGAUUGGUUGACUAAUGUAAUCAGGUGUUCUAGCUCUAGAGUAGAUGAAAUCCAUUCGUCUGCGGGUCCCCCAGGAGAGGUCUGAACUCCUGUUUUGGGGGAAUAGAUUUGUAUCUCUUGGUGGCAUUUCUUGACAGAUGGCGUCUUUUCAUGUAUCUAUUCUAGUGUUUAGGUAUCAUGGGUUGUUUUCAUGUAUCUAUUCUAGGGGUUUAGGUAUCAUGGGUUGUUUUCAUGUAUCUAUUCUAGGGGGUUAGGUAUCAUGGGUUGGUUUCAUGUAUCUAUUCUAGGGGUUUAGGUAUCAUGGGUUGGUUUCAUGUAUCUAUUCUAGGGUUUAGGUAUCAUGGGUUGGUUUCAUGGUUUUGGAUUCUGAUCAAAUCAAUAGGAAGUAUUGCCACUGAUCAAUACCCAUAGUGUGAUAAUACCCAUAGUGUGAUAAUACCAGUAGUCAUUGGUUUAGAAGAGAAACAACGCUAUUGGAAUGUAUAGAAAUAUAAUCUAUAGAACGGACCUUCCCAUUCAAGUCAAUGCUGAUUCCAUUGCUAUGCUUGAAUGGUCUUUACUUUUCCAGGAUGCCUACAGUAACAGGGUGGAGGGAAGUGUGAGUGAGAGGUGUGUGUUUCCGCUAGUGUGAAUGACUUAGCUAACUAGGUGAACUUUUUUGUACAGAAAUGGUUUGGAACUAAUGACUUGCUGUAGGAUCUGGGCUAUGUAUGGUGUAACUGUUGGAUUGGGUACUAUGUAUGGUGUAACUGUUGGAUUGGGUACUAUGUAUGGUGUAACUGUUGGAUUGGGUACUAUGUAUGGUGUAACUGUUGGAUUGGGUACUAUGUAUGGUGUAACUGUUGGAUUGGGUACUAUGUGUGGUGUAACUGUUGGAUUGGGUACUAUGUGUGGUGUAACUGUUGGAUUGGGUACUAUGUGCGGUGUAACUGUUGGAUUGGGUACUAUGUAUGGUGUAACUGUUGGAUUGGGUACUAUGUACGGUGUAACUGUUGGAUUGGGUACUAUGUGUGGUGUAACUGUUGGAUUGGGUACUAUGUGCGGUGUAACUGUUGGAUUGGGUACUAUGUGCGGUGUAACUGUUGGAUUGGGUACUAUGUACGGUGUAACUGUUGGAUUGGGUACUAUGUGUGGUGUAACUGUUGGAUUGGGUACUAUGUGUGGUGUAACUGUUGGAUUGGGUACUAUCAUGAGAUAGGAUGUUAGCACAGUAACCAUGGGAGAUAUAGGAUUUCAUGUUAAACCCAUAGUACUCCUCUUUACUCAGUAUUAUACCCAACAUGUAUCGUUGCCACCUGUUGUUGAUGCAGUAAGUGAGAACUAUCCAGAAACUCAUAUAAAGCUGUUUAAUUGAGCAAAAGAAUAUCAACUUUGGCUUUGUAAUUAUUUAUGCAUUUAAAUGGAAGAUCACUCACCUCAAUAUAGGGACCAUUAUUUCUCCUUCACAACAGGAGCUAGUUUUAUGUUUAAAUCAUGUAGUUUUAUAUUCAAGGAAUACCUUUAAGAAAACGUUAACCCUGGACAGAAUCUUCUAAAACUACAACCAGACUUAGUGUGCUAUACAUUUGUCAUGUGUGUGUUAUAUUUCUGAACAGUGUUCUAUACACAAUGUAUUUUCUACGUGAAUAACUUUCCGAGGUAAAUAAAGUAUGUUUUCUUCCAGAUAAACGGAUCCCUGUUUGUCUCUGUAGAUGUAAUGAAGGUGUUAUGACUGUGUGAUCUGGUAUGAAGACGUCUCCUGGCUGGAGACGCGCCGGGGCCUCUUCGCUCCCUGUGUCUGUGUGGUGCAGCCUGUGUCUGUGUGGUGCAGCCUGUGUCUGUGUGGUGCAGCCUGUGUCUGUGUGGUGCAGCCUGUGUCUGUGUGGUGCAGCCUGUGUCUGUGUGGUGCAGCCUGUGUCUGUGCAGCCUGUGUCUAUGUGAUGCAGCCUGUGUCUGUGUGGUGCAGCCUGUGUCUGUGUGGUGCAGCCUGUGUCUGUGCAGCCUGUGUCUGUGUGGUGCAGCCUGUGUCUGUAUGCUGAUGACUCAACACUAUAUACACGUCAGCUACUACAGCAGCGCUCAGCAAAGAGCUGCACUAAGUUUCACAAUGGGGCGGCAAGAAAUAAGUUAGUCCUAAAUGAUUUAGAAAACUAAAAGCGUUGUAUUUGGGACAAAUCAUUCACUAAACCCUAAAUUGAGCAAGUUGGGGAGACUAAACCGCUUGGAGUAACCCUGUAUUGUAAACUGUCAUGGUCAAAACAUAUAGUUUUGUCCGGUCGGGUGCACGUAGUCAUAAUGAGCAUUACAGUUGUCCCAGAAUGGGGGGGGGAGGGGGGAGGGGGUGGCAGCAUGGCACGGCUGGCUCUUAAAUGUACACCGAGAGCCAACAUUAAUACUACGCAUGUCAAUCUCUCACGGUUCAAAGUGGAGGAGAGAUUGACUUCAUCAAUACUUGUAUUUGUGAAAAGUAUUGUUGAAUGCAGCAAGCUGUCUGUUUAAACUACUAGCACACAGCUCAGACACCCAUACAUACCCCACAAGACAUGCCACCAGAGGUCCAGAAGAGACUAUGGGAGGCGCACAGUACUACAUAGAGCCAUGACUACAUGGAACUCUAUUCCACAGUACUACAUAGAGCCAUGACUACAUGGAACUCUAUUCCACAGUACUACAUAGAGCCAUGACUACAUGGAACUCUAUUCCACAGUACUACAUAGAGCCAUGACUACAUGGAACUCUAUUCCACAUUAAGUAACUGAUGCAAGCAGUGAAAUCAGAUUUAAAACCUAGACAAAACUACACCUUAUGGAACAGCAGGGACUGUGAAGAGACACACAUGCACACACACACAUGUACAGUGUGUUGUAGAUAUGUGGUAGUAGAGUAGUGGCCUGAGGGAACACACUGUGUUGUGAAAUGUAAUGUUUUUAGAAUUGCAUAUAACUUCCUUAAUGUUGCUGGACCCCAGGAAGAGUAGCUGCUGCCUUGGCAGGAACUAAUGGGGAUCCAUAAUAAACCCCAGGAAGAGUAGCUGCUGCCUUGGCAGGAACUAAUGAGGAUCCAUAAUAAACCCCAGGAAGAGUAGCUGCUGCCUUGGCAGGAACUAAUGAGGAUCCAUAAUAAACCCCAGGAAGAGUAGCUGCUGCCUUGGCAGGAACUAAUGGGGAUCCAUAAUAAACCCCAGGAAGAGUAGCUGCUGCCUUGGCAGGAACUAUGAGGAUCCAUAAUAAACCCCAGGAAGAGUAGCUGCUGCCUUGGCAGGAACUAAUGAGGAUCCAUAAUAAACCCCAGGAAGAGUAGCUGCUGCCUUGGCAGGAACUAUGAGGAUCCUUAAUAAACCCCAGGAAGAGUAGCUGCUGCCUUGGCAGGAACUAUGAGGAUCCAUAAUAAACCCCAGGAAGAGUAGCUGCUGCCUUGGCAGGAACUAAUGAGGAUCCAUAAUAAACCCCAGGAAGAGUAGCUGCUGCCUUGGCAGGAACUAAUGAGGAUCCAUAAUAAACCCCAGGAAGAGUAGCUGCUGCCUUGGCAGGAACUAAUGAGGAUCCAUAAUAAACCCCAGGAAGAGUAGCUGCUGCCUUGGCAGGAACUAAUGAGGAUCCAUAAUAAACCCCAGGAAGAGUAGCUGCUGCCUUGGCAGGAACUAAUGAGGAUCCAUAAUAAACACUAAUACAAAUACAUGUUGUUCAACUCUGUGCUGGUGGUUGUUGUGGCAACCCCGAAGGAGGAAACGGAGAAGAGGUCUCCCUUUUACUUGCUGUCCUACAACAGGUGAGAGUGGUGAGGAAGGUGGCUAUGAUGAUGAUGAUGAUGGUGAUACAGAUUAUGAUAUUCUGGCUACUUAACUAAAAAAGUGACAGCUGAUCUUUGCUACAAUGUCUAAUCAAAAGAUCAGUUGUGACUAUUAAUCCACUAGGAGGCAGUAUUUAGCACAGAAACAGCUUUGCCGCCCCCAAAAAGGCAGGCGUCAUCCCAAAUGGCAUCCUAUUUCCUAUAUAGUGCACUACAUUAGACCAGAGCCCUAUUCCCUAUAUAGUUCACUAUAUUGGACCCGAGCCCUUUUGACCAGGGCCCUUUUGACCAGAGUCCUAUUCCCUAUAUAGUGCACUACUUUUGACCAGGGCCCUAUUCUCUAUAUAGUGCACUACUUUAGACCAGGGCCCUUUAGACCAGGGCCCUUUAGACCAGGGCCCAUACAGUAUGUAAGGAAGAGGCACCAUUCAAGGCAAAGCCUCUGUUAAUGACCGUCAGACCCGUGAUGCUAUCAGCAGACUGGCUCAUGUCAACCAAACUGAUAAAAACACUGUGUACCACAACUCACAAAUAUCACCCAACAACCAACACAGACACUGGUACCCUGAAAAAUACCUCCUUUCUAAAUUAGCUCAUGACUGUGUGUGUGUGUGUGUGUGUGUGCGUGUGUGUGCGUGUGCGCGUGUGUAUGUCUGUUACUGCGCAUAUGUAUGUGACAACAGAUGAGGCAGAAAAUAACG
ensembl:lncRNA